UUUCCGUAGGUGAACCUGCGGAAGGACCAUUACCGAGUGAGGGCCCUCUGGGUCCAACCUCCCACCCGUGUCUAUCGUACCUUGUUGCUUCGGCGGGCCCGCCUCACGGCCGCCGGGGGGCAUCUGCCCCCGGGCCCGCGCCCGCCGAAGACACCUAUGAACUCUGUCUGAAGAUUGCAGUCUGAGUGAAAUGGUAAAUUAUUUAAAACUUUCAACAACGGAUCUCUUGGUUCCG
rnacentral:misc_RNA from 1 species